rnacentral:rRNA from 1 species
GACUUGGCGGUGCGGCCGGCCCCGUGUGGGUCGUUGCUAGUGCCGCGAGGUCAUCCUCGGGGAAUGCGUGUCUGUCAUUCAGUUGAUGGGCACGAGUACCCCGUCAUUUACUGUGAGCAAAAUAGCGUGUUCAAAGCAGGCUUACGCCGUUGAAUACAUUAGCAUGGAAUAAUAAGAUAGGACCUUGGUCUAUUUUGUUGGUUAGUACUCCAAGGUA